rnacentral:rRNA from 1 species
CUACGGGAGGCAGCAGUGGGGAAUUUUCCGCAAUGGGCGAAAGCCUGACGGAGCAAUACCGCGUGAGGGAAGACGGCCUAUGGGUUGUAAACCUCUUUUUUCAGGGAGGAAUAAAUGACGUGUACCUGAAGAAUAAGCAUCGGCUAACUCCGUGCCAGCAGCCGCGGUAAGACGGAGGAUGCAAGUGUUAUCCGGAAUCACUGGGCGUAAAGCGUCUGUAGAUGGUUAAGCAAGUCAACUGUUAAAUCUUGAGGCUCAACUUCAAAAUCGCAGUCGAAACUGUUUGACUAGAGUAUAGUAGGGGUAAAGGGAAUUUCCAGUGGAGCGGUGAAAUGCGUAGAGAUUGGAAAGAACACCGAUGGCGAAAGCACUUUACUGGGCUAUUACUAACACUCAGAGACGAAAGCUAGGGUAGCAAAUGGGAUUAGAUACCCCAGUAGUCCUAGCCGUAAACAAUGGAUACUAGAUGUUGAACAGAUCGACCUGUGCAGUAUCAAAACUAACGCGUUAAGUAUCCCGCCUGGGAAGUAUGCUCGCAAGAGUGAAACUCAAAU